AGAGUUUGAUCCUGGCUCAGGAUGAACGCUGGCGGCGUGCCUAAUACAUGCAAGUCGAACGAAGCACCUCGGUGCUUAGUGGCGAACGGGUGAGUAACACGUGGGUAACCUGCCCUCAAGACGAGGAUAACCGUUGGAAACGAUGGCUAAGACUGGAUAGGAGCGCGGAAGGCAUCUUCUGCGCUUUAAAAGACCUGGCAACAGGUAUGCUUGAGGAGGGGCCUGCGGCGCAUUAGUUAGUUGGCGGGGUGAUGGCCCACCAAGACGAUGAUGCGUAGCCGGACUGAGAGGUUGAACGGCCACAUUGGGACUGAGAGACGGCCCAAACUCCUACGGGAGGCAGCAGUAGGGAAUUUUCGGCAAUGGGGGAAACCCUGACCGAGCAACGCCGCGUGAACGACGAAGUACUUCGGUAUGUAAAGUUCUUUUAAGAGGGAAGAAUGGCCCGCGGAAAAGCGGGGCGUGACGG
rnacentral:rRNA from 1 species